GAAACCUAUGCUGGGUCAAAUAUUUAAUUACAAUCCAAAUUCAGUGCUGUUUCAAGCUUGAAUGUUGUGUCCAUACUUGCCCCAACUGUUCAGGGUUCGACCUCUGAGGUCAUAUCAAGCUGCGCCCCAGCGGAGCAUUUUAUAUCUUUUGGUAUCAACUUUUUUUACAAAUGCAUUAUAUUUUUUAUUGAUUAAAAGAAGUUACACUUUGCUUGAUAAAAGAGGGGAUAACUCAGAUGAUUUAAUUUAUUAAGGAAUGUGCAGUGCUUUUUAUACUGGUAUGGCGUUGUCGUCGUCUUCCGAAGACACAAUGGUUUUCGCACUCUAACUUUAGUUUAAGUUAAUGGAUCUCUAUGAAAUUUUACCAUAAGGUUCAAUACCACAAAAGGAAGGUUGGGAUUGAUUUUGAGGGUUAUGGUACCAACAGUUAAGGAAUUAGGGGCCAAAAAUAAGCAUUUUUGUAACUUCCAGACAUAACUUGUGUGUUAGUGUAUGGAUCUCUCUGACAUUGUACCACAUGGUUCCAUAUCACACAGGGAAUGUUGGGAUUGAUUUUGGGGGUAAUUGCCUCAAAAUAUUAGGAAUUAGGGGCAAAAAUAGGGGCAAAAAACAAGCAUUUUUAUACAACUGCAAAAAAAUUUUGUGGUCGUAUAUUGGUAUCUCGUCCUCGUCCGAAGACGCAUUCGUUUUUGCACUCUAACUUUAGUUUAAGUAAAUGGAUCUCUAUGAAUUUUACCAUAAGGUUUAAUACCACAAAAGGAAGGUUGGGAUUGAUUUUGGGGGUUAUGGUACCAACAGUUAAGGAAUUAGGGGCCAAAAAGGGGCCAAAAAUAAGCAUUUUGUAACUUCCAGACAUUACUUGUGUGUUAGUGUAUGGAUCUCUCUGACAUUGUACCACAAGGUUCCAUAUCACAAAAGGGAAUGUUGGGAUUGAUUUUGGGGGUAAUUGCCUCAAAAUUUUAGGAAUUAGGGGCCAAAAAAGGGGCAAAAAACAAGCAUUUUUCUAGUUUCAUGACAAUAACUUGUUUGUAAGUGUAUGGAUCUUUCUGAAAUUGUACUACAAGGUUCCAUAUCACAAAGGGAAAGCUGGAAUUGAGUUUGGGGGUAAUUGCCCAAAACGUUUAGGAAUAAGGGGCCAAAAAUAAGCAUUUUUCUAGUUUCCAGAUCAAGUGUAUGGAUCUCUCUGAUAUUGUACUGCAAGGUACCAUACCACAAAGGGAAGGCUGGGAUUGAUUUUGGGGUUAAUUGCUUCAAAAUUUUAGGAAUUAGGGGCCAAAAAAGGAGAAAAAAACAAGCAUUUUUCUAGUUUCAGGACAAUUACUUGUGUGUAAGUGUAAGUAUCUUUAUGAAAUUGUACUACAAGGUUCCAUAUCACAAAGGGAAAGCUGGGUUUGAGUUUGGGGGUAAUUGCUCAAACGUUUAGGAAUUUGG